GUGGGCCUGGGUGAAGGAGCACCGGCCCGAGGUGUGGGCCAAGGUGAAGAAGGCCGUCGCCGACGGGCGGUUCGUGCCCACGGGCGGCA
rnacentral:tRNA from 1 species